GAGAUGGUGAAUUCCAAAGUGGCUGUUCCGAAGAUAAUCAGGUGCCAUCCCCAUGCAGCACCAGGGAUCCUGGCCUUUCAUCAGAGCUCCUUUCCCAGCACUGAGGCUUUCCUUCUCCUGAGUCCCAAUUGCAAUGUUCUACACUGUAGAGGAGGUUCGAGGUUCUUCUGUCAUCCAGUCAGCCUGGUGACUGCCUGGCUCCAGUCCCACUCAGCCUUCCUUGGUCCCCUUCUCAAAUGGGACAUGCAAAGCACCUGCAGAGUGCUGGGUUGCUUUUGCUGCGGGGCAGGGCUCUGGGAGGGCUUUGACAGGAAGAGGCAGCUGGAGAAAUGUCACCACUGGGGAGCCAGCAGGGUGCAGGGCAAGAGUGCAGGGAGCAGGGUGAGGAGCACUUUGGCUUAGGCAUGCUCUGGCCAAGCUGAGUUGGGGUGUCCUAUGAGGGAGAAGCAGCUCAGCAGAGCCAGGGCCAGGGGAAGCACAAGCAGACAGCCUCCCCAGUUACCUCCAAAGUCCCAGCAGCAGCCUGCAAGGCUUCCUGAGAGAAAGGCCUGGGCUGGCCCCUCAUAACCAUGUCACAUUUAACUCACCACAGCAUUUAGUGCCCAAAAAAUGGUCUGCUAUUGCACCACCCAGAAUGAGAGACACCCAGGAGAGAACCAAGAGCUUCAAGUUCUGCUCCUGGUGCCCCACCUCUCCCCCUCACUGUUGUCAUAGGCAGAGGGAGGGACCAGCAGGGACUGGGCCUGAGAGCAGUGACACAGGCCCAGGCAGGGCAGGAGUGGGCAGAGCUGCUGUGCAGGCUCAGAGAAGCUGGAGAGAGGCCACGCAGAGCGGGCCUGGCCAUGUGGAGUGCCCUGUGCCUGGGCUUCUUGCCCAUUGUAGCAGUCACUGGCCAGGUGAUCCUGGAGCAGCUCCCCAGGGAAGAGACCGUGCGAGAGGGAAAUGCAGUCACCUUCCAGUGCAGCAUGAAUGGGGAUUCUGUGUGGAGGUACUACAUGUACUGGUACCGUCAGGGCCCACGGGGCAUGGAAUGGAUUUCCACGGGCGGUUAUGAGUACGGAGAAGGUUUCCAAGAUCGCUUUAAGGCAGGAGUAGAGAGCUCCGAGAACUUAUUUCCACUGCAAAUCCUGGCAGCAGAGCCAGGUGAUGCAGCCACGUAUUACUGUGGAGCAAGAAUCACCCUGGAGCAGCUCUGCAGCAGAGUGAACCAAAAACCAGCAGAUGGUCCUCCAGCACUGGCCUUUGAUUUCUGCAAGGGAGAAAGAAAGAGCUUCUACUCAUCAUUUCCCAAUUGAAUUUCCUCCCAUCUCUUCUGCCCAGGAUUGCAGCCUCUAUCAACGAGCCAUGGCCAGCGAUAGACUUGUCAAGCUCCAGGAAGCAGCCAAAGAAUGUUUUCUUUCAAAAGCCAUAUGUUUAUGUAAAUUAUAAAAAAGUAACUUUUCUUGGUAAUAUUGCUCUAAGCGUCCUCCUCUAGCAAGGAAGUUACAGACAUUGCAAGGGAAGUUUUCUCCUCUGCCUGAGGCAAAUAUCUCCUGCAGGGAUGGGAAUGCACCUGUGAGUGAGUCUUUCACAGGGCCACAGAAAGGGUGAAAUUGAAAAAGGCUUCUUUUAAACAAAGAAGUUUUAAAAAGGAUGGGGAAAUAUUUUUUUAUACAGCCUGUAGUGAUGGGAGGGUGGGUAAUAUUUUUACACAAAGAGAGGAUAGAUUCAGACAAGAUACAAUGAAGAAUGUUCUUUUUUAAAACGACAGUGAUGAAAUAGAUUGCCCCAAGAAAUUGUAUCUGCUCCAAACACACCCAGGGUGGCAAACAGUACCAAAAACUCCAGAAAUGUGCCAAGCACUGCAUGAUGUCUGGCAGACAUGGGGUGUGGAGUUAA